rnacentral:rRNA from 1 species
AGAGUUUGAUCCUGGCUCAGAUUGAACGCUGGCGGCAGGCCUAACACAUGCAAGUCGAACGGUAACAGGAAACAGCUUGCUGUUUCGCUGACGAGUGGCGGACGGGUGAGUAAUGUCUGGGAAACUGCCUGAUGGAGGGGGAUAACUACUGGAAACGGUAGCUAAUACCGCAUAACGUCGCAAGACCAAAGAGGGGGACCUUCGGGCCUCUUGCCAUCGGAUGUGCCCAGAUGGGAUUAGCUAGUAGGUGGGGUAACGGCUCACCUAGGCGACGAUCCCUAGCUGGUCUGAGAGGAUGACCAGCCACACUGGAACUGAGACACGGUCCAGACUCCUACGGGAGGCAGCAGUGGGGAAUAUUGCACAAUGGGCGCAAGCCUGAUGCAGCCAUGCCGCGUGUAUGAAGAAGGCCUUCGGGUUGUAAAGUACUUUCAGCGGGGAUGAAGGGAGUAAAGUUAAUACCUUUGCUCAUUGACGUUACCCGCAGAAGAAGCACCGGCUAACUCCGUGCCAGCAGCCGCGGUAAA